GGCAUUUCCCAGCCCUAGUCAGGGCUCCCUUCUCCGCUGAGCAGGCUCCCUUGCUGCAGACUGCAGUGAAGUCCUGCAAAUGAGAGACUUGCGUUCAUAUUUCAGCAUUGAAAUUCCUUCCAAAGCCAGACACCCAUGACGACCAUACUGGGUCUACAGUACUUUUGCCUUCCAUUGGCACAGAUCGUGGAAAAGUGAUAGUUUAUAGAAUCAAGGAAAUUGGUGAGAUCCUUUGGGUAGAGGAACCUGUUCAUAAACAGAUAAACGAUGUUUUGUUCACCGUUUAGGCUGAUUUAAUGAACAGACUCUUGAUGGCGAGGUACUGGGCGAAAGGGUGAGCCGAAGUGCUGGCCCUGGUGGAAGAGGUAUAAUUUUGAAGUUUUUUCUCUUUGACAGUCUUUGACGGCACGUGACUCCCUUUGGCCAUCUGCUUUUGGGGGCUCUGGGUAUGAGCUGCAUAACGUCCUUUUGCGAGAAAGGAUAAAUCAUCCAAAGGCCCAAACGUUUGGUUGAGUCCUGGCUUUCUCCGCCCUCCAUGGGGAGGACGAUAAAUUGGCUGCCAGCACAGAAGAGGUUGUGGUGUAGGCCCAAACCCCUUUGGGCAGGAACUGGAGCCCAGCGGAAGCUUUCGCUGUGACCAAGGCACUUGACUUCUCACGAGAAGGUGUAGCCCUGGAAACAAGGCUACACAGCCUGUAGAAUCACAAGAAAAACUGCGUUCUUACGAUGAGACUCCUAUGAGUUACCUUAAUCUAGGCAGAGGCAGUAAAUCAUCCUAGUGAAAUGGAAAAGCAAGUUCAUUUUUAUUGGUUUUUAUGGGCUAUUUCAAUGGCAAAGAAACCAUGAAAAAAAAGAUGCAUAUUUAAAGCUCUUAGAAGAACUUUUCAAAAAUACUUACUAUAUCAUGGGAAAAAAGCAAGUUUUUGUUCACCUCAGUGUAUUGAGUUGGUAAUUUAUAUCCACUACAUUCACUCUUCUUAGGAUACAGUUUUAUGAGUUUUGACAAAAACAAGAGGUUGUGUAACCGCUGCUGCUGUCAGGAUGUCGGCUAUAUUUACGCCCCCACAGUCCCCAUGUCUCUCUGUGGUCAGAGUCCUCCUUCCUUCCCUUCAGAUUCCUGGUAAUCACCAUCUGUUCUCUGUCUCUGUGCUGUUAUUACAGAAAGUCAUUCACAUGGAAUCGUCCAGUAGGGAGCCAUUUGAGUUUAUCUUCUUCCAGCAUAACACCCUUGAGGGCCAUCUAAGUUGUUGGGUACAUCAGUGAUUGGUUCAUUUUUUAUUGCUGAGUAGUAUUCCAUUCUAUGGAUGUACCACCAUUUAUUCACCUGUACUUGUAUUUUUUCCAACUUGAGGCAAUUACAGAUAAAGUUGCUGUAAUAAUA